GAUGAACGCUGGCGGCGUGCCUAAUACAUGCAAGUCGAGCGAACAGACGAGGAUCUUGCGCCGCUGACGUUAGCGGCGGACGUGUGAGUAACACGUGUAUAACCUACCUAUAAUACUGGGAUAACUUCGGGAAACCGGAGCUAAUACCGGAUAAUAUAUUGAACCGCAUGGUUCAAUAGUGAAAGACGGUUUUGCUGUCACUUAUAGAUGGAUCCGCGCCGCAUUAGCUAGUUGGUAAGGUAACGGCUUACCAAGGCAACGAUGCGUAGCCGACGUGAGAGGGUGAUCGGCCACACUGGAACUGAGACACGGUCCAGACUCCUACGGGAGGCCGCAGUAGGGAAUCUUCCGCAAUGGGCGAAAGUCUGACGGAGCAACGCCGCGUGAGUGAUGAAGGUCUUCGGAUCGUAAAACUGUGUUAUUAGGGAAGAACCACUGUGUACGUAACUAUGCCCGUCUUGACGGUAACUAAUAAGAAAGCACCGGCUAACUACGUG
rnacentral:rRNA from 1 species